GUGGGAGGGGGCUUGCUCCCGAUGGCGCUGUAUCAGUCAGCAGAUGCAGUGCCUGGUACUCAGCAAUCGGGAGCAAGCCCCCUCCCAC
rnacentral:antisense_RNA from 1 species